GAUGAACGCUGGCGGCGUGCCUAAUACAUGCAAGUCGAGCGAAUGGAUUAAGAGCUUGCUCUUAUGAAGUUAGCGGCGGACGGGUGAGUAACACGUGGGUAACCUGCCCAUAAGACUGGGAUAACUCCGGGAAACCGGGGCUAAUACCGGAUAACAUUUUGAACCGCAUGGUUCGAAAUUGAAAGGCGGCUUCGGCUGUCACUUAUGGAUGGACCCGCGUCGCAUUAGCUAGUUGGUGAGGUAACGGCUCAGCAAGGCAACGAUGCGUAGCCGACCUGAGAGGGUGAACGGCCACACUGAGACUGAGACACGGCCCAGACUCCUACGGGAGGCAGCAGUAGGGAAUCUUCCGCAAUGGACGAAAGUCUGACGGAGCAACACCGCGUGAGUGAUGAAGGCUUUCGGGUCGUAAAACUCUGUUGUUAGGGAAGAACAAGUGCUAGUUGAAUAAGCUGGCACCUUGACGGUACCUAACCAGAAAGCCACGGCUAACUACGUGCCAGCAGCCGCGGUAA
rnacentral:rRNA from 1 species